rnacentral:rRNA from 1 species
CAAUAGCGUAUAUUUAAGUUGUUGCAGUUAAAAAGCUCGUAGUUGGAUUUCGGUUAAGAGCGACCGGUCCGCCGUUUGGUGUGCACUGGUUGGUUUUAACUUCCUGUAGAGGACGUGCUCUGGGUUUAACGACCUGGACUCGGAGUCUACGUGGUUACUUUGAAAAAAUUAGAGUGUUCAAAGCGGGCUUACGCUUGAAUAUUUCAGCAUGGAAUAACACUAUAGGACUCCUGUCCUAUUUCGUUGGUCUCGGGACGGGAGUAAUGAUUAAGAGGAACAGUUGGGGGCAUUCGUAUUUCAUUGUCAGAGGUGAAAUUCUUGGAUUUAUGAAAGACGAACUUCUGCGAAAGCGUCUGCCAAGGAUGUUUUCAUUAA